rnacentral:rRNA from 1 species
CGGGGUACACGAGCGGCGAACGGGUGAGUAACACGUGAGCAACCUGCCCCUGACUCUGGGAUAAGCGGUGGAAACGCCGUCUAAUACCGGAUACGACCCGCCACCUCAUGGUGGAGGGUGGAAAGUUUUUCGGUCAGGGAUGGGCUCGCGGCCUAUCAGCUUGUUGGUGGGGUAACGGCCUACCAAGGCGAUUACGGGUAGCCGGCCUGAGAGGGCGACCGGCCACACUGGGACUGAGACACGGCCCAGACUCCUGCGGGAGGCAGCAGUGGGGAAUAUUGCGCAAUGGGCGAAAGCCUGACGCAGCGACGCCGCGUGGGGGAUGACGGCCUUCGGGUUGUAAACCUCUUUUACCACCAACGCAGGCUUCCAGUUCUCUGGGGGUUGACGGUAGGUGGGGAAUAAGGACCGGCUAACUACGUGCCAGCAGCCGCGGUAAUACGUAGGGUCCGAGCGUUGUCCGGAAUUAUUGGGCGUAAAGAGCUCGUAGGCGGCGUGUCGCGUCUGCUGUGAAAGACCGGGGCUUAACUCCGGUUCUGCAGUGGAUACGGGCAUGCUAGAGGUAGGUAGGGGAGACUGGAAUUCCUGGUGUAGCGGUGAAAUGCGCAGA